rnacentral:rRNA from 1 species
GACGAACGCUGGCGGCGUGCUUAACACAUGCAAGUCGAACGAAGUGGCGAACGGGUGAUGAAUACGUGAGUAACCUGCCCUCCUUUUUGGGAUAAGCCUUGGAAACGGGGUCUAAUACCGAAUAAAGGGGGAUGGGCUCGCGGCCUAUCAGCUUGUUGGUGGGGUGAUGGCCUACCAAUGCGGUGACUGGUAGCCGGCCUGAGAUGGUGACCGGCCACAUGAGGACUGAGAUACGGCCCAGACGCCUACGGGAGGCGGCAGUGAGGGAUAUUGGACAAUGGGUGAAAGCCUGAUGCAGCGAUGCAGAGUGUGGGUUGAAGGGUUACGGGUUGUAGACCUCUUUCGCUAUCGAAUGGGUAGGUGGAGAAGAAGCGCCGGCUAACUACGUGCCAGCAGCCGCGGUAAUAG